CAUUUGGUGGUUGUGGACGAUGAUCACUACGAUUCUGUUCUUGCUUUACUGGUUUUGCUGGAGGCACUGAGUUGCCAGCCUUGUGACAAGUAUGUUUUCCCUUGUAAGUGAUCUCAAAAAUCGCGGAAUCGUUAUCCGAUCUCUGAACUUGCUUUGUAGCUUGGCAACUUCGAGUCUUCCGGUAUGUGCAUCUGUAAUAGCUUCUGCAGAAAUAAACGUUUUCAUAAGAUUUAUGAUAUCUGACCUUCAUAAAAUUUCAUAUUUAUGCACUUGUGUAUCCAACUUUUACAUAUUUACAGUAAUACUAUUCAUUUCCGAGUCUAACACCCUCUUGUGUCGUGUUCGACACUUCGUAUGCAACAUGCAUCUAGUGUGUUUUACAUUAUUGUUUUGAAAGAGAUUAAUACAUGACAUAUUGUCUUUUUUCUUGUGCAGAUUUUUCAGCGAAUUAAAAGGCACUAUAAAUAUUAAAAGGGGUAUGUAGUUGUCGGAUAAAUGACUCUCCGCCUUUUUUUAUUUAAUAAUUAAACACACUCAAACACGCACGAGUAUUGUUUUUUUUUAAUCAGUAGUGACGCUAACUCUUACCUUGGAUGUGCAGCACCCAAAAUGUCCUUCUGUCCGUACUUCCUCCAACUAUAUCCAUCAGCAGAAUUCUCCCCUCCAUUAUCCGAAGAAAUUCUCACAUGGUCUUUCCACGUAGGUAACGCCUUUCUGCAAAUACGGAAAAUAAAUAAUUAGUCGAUAUAUCUCACUCGAAAGCAGGUCUGGUGGUAGCAUGUAUGCAACCAUUGAAAGUCUUAAUUAAAUACCUUUUUUUUGAAACAUCUCGGUGAUGAUCCUUGAAAUCCCCACUUUCAUAGGUAGAAAUCGGAGAUUCGGGCAGCUGAGCCAGCAUUGCUGGCAAUGUCUGAGGCUGCCCUGCUGAUGACUCAGUCCAGUUGAGAAGCAGCAAGGCAGUGUCAUAUGAAGAUAAUAUCUUCUGCA
rnacentral:lncRNA from 1 species